GGGGAAUAUUGGACAAUGGGCGCAAGCCUGAUCCAGCCAUGCCGCGUGGGUGAAGAAGGCCUUCGGGUUGUAAAGCCCUUUUGUUGGGAAAGAAAAGCAGCCGGCCAAUACCCGGUUGUUCUGACGGUACCCAAAGAAUAAGCACCGGCUAACUCCGUGCCAGCAGCCGCGGCAAUACGGAGGGUGCAAGCGUUAUCCGGAUUUAUUGGGUUUAAAGGGUCCGUAGGCGGACUUAUAAGUCAGUGGUGAAAGCCUGUCGCUUAACGAUAGAACUGCCAUUGAUACUGUAAGUCUUGAGUAUAUUUGAGGUAGCUGGAAUAAGUAGUGUAGCGGUGAAAUGCAUAGAUAUUACUUAGAACACCAAUUGCGAAGGCAGGUUACCAAGAUAUAACUGACGCUGAGGGACGAAAGCGUGGGGAGCGAACA
rnacentral:rRNA from 1 species